CUGCCCGACUCUGCCCCUCCUACCGGUCUGGAUGAACGUGUCUAUUUUAUCUCCUUAGUUGUCCGACUUCCGUACAGCACAAUUUUCUGUCAGUUCUGCUUGUUAUUCUGUUUCUAAAUUGUUGUUGUCAUCCCUAUCUUGGUUGUGCAAGGAGGCAUAGUGUAUCUACCUAUGCCUCCAUCUUGGCCAGAAGUCUGGAGGGUUUUGAACAGAAGAAUUAACGUUAUCUGAUUUGGUGUGUGCGUGGGUCAUGUGAUCGAUGAUGUCACAAUGCCCUACUAGACUCCAACCUCUCCACUAGGGAGUUGCAGAUCCCUUAAAGCCAAGGACUGGAACUGACUUUUGAGAGCUCUGCCACCUGAGGGUUUCAUGAGCAUACUCCUUUACCAAGGUCUUGGUGAAGAGUCUUUCACUCUGCAAUUGUGUCUUUAAAAUUGUUUUAUCAUGAUUGUGCUCGGCUGGAUGCUUUUUGUUGGCUUUGCAUGUUACAUGGGCACAUUUCCGGAGUUCAUGCCUCCAACUCUGAGGUGGAAAGACAGGUGGCCUGUUAAAGAGAGCAAGGCUCGACGGAGCAGCCAGCCUUUGGAUGAAGAUCUACAACUGAACUAUGUGGAAGGGGUAUAAGUAUCCCCCAGGAGGGACCCCGGUGGAAAUAAGCAAAGAUGAUCCUGGUGAAGUAAUGCAGCUCUGAAGCUCACCUGACCAGCUGUACAGCUCCUGUUGUUGGUUUCGCAUAAAGUUUACUUGGGUCCCCCCUUGUACAUCUCAGUGAAAAUGCUGCAGAAAGCCUCAGGCUGGGACUGCAUUAUAUUCUAUUUAUAUGGCAGAAGAACCAUUUGGCACUUUCCCCUGCAUCAGAUGGUCACAUUUAGCUCUUGCAGCAGCACAUCAAGAUGCACCCACCAACUCUGAAUGUGAUUCAAGGCACCAGGCUGCUUCAUUGUUUGAGCUUCAUGAAAAGCAGCUGGACAAGAGUCCCUUUCAUUUUAUUAUACUUUAAGCCAACUCACUCAUUCUGCUGGACUCCAAUGAAUGAUCCACAACAGUGAAGCUUAUGCCAUUUAAACACACUAUCAGAGAUUUUGCCAAGAUUUGUAAUUCUAAAGCCAACAGACCUAGAAGACAUUGAGUAAUUUUAAAACAUGUGUUCCUUGUGUUGAGACUACACUGCCAGAGUCAUAUUUAGAAAAUUAGGGGGUUGGCGGGAGAUGGAAGAGGUACAGGAGGGAUAAAUGGUGAUGGAAAGAGUCUUGAUUUGGGGUGGUGAACACACAAUACAAUGUACAGAUGAUGUGUUGUAGAACUGUGCACCUGAAACCUGUAUAAUUUUGUGAACCAGUGUCACCUCAUAAAUUCAAUAAAGGAAAUUUUUUUUAAAAAGAAGCGUUUUCUUUUGGAGCUUUCAGUCUGGAAACAUGUGUUCACCAAAUAUGUUAUGUUGUAAUCAAUAGUCAAUCCCUUCUUGAAAGCUGUUCUUUA